rnacentral:piRNA from 1 species
UUGAAUUCAAUUUUCAAAAUU